AGCGGCGAACGGGUGAGUAACACGUAGGUGAUCUGCCCAUCAGACGGGGACAACGAUUGGAAACGAUCGCUAAUACCGGAUAGGACGAAAGUUUAAAGGUGCUUCUGGCACCGCUGAUGGAUGAGCCUGCGGCGCAUUAGCUAGUUGGUAGGGUAAAGGCCUACCAAGGCGACGAUGCGUAGCCGACCUGAGAGGGUGAACGGCCACACUGGGACUGAGACACGGCCCAGACUCCUACGGGAGGCAGCAGUAGGGAAUCUUCGGCAAUGGGCGAAAGCCUGACCGAGCAACGCCGCGUGAAUGAUGAAGGCCUUCGGGUUGUAAAAUUCUGUUAUAAGGGAAGAACGACUUUAGUAGGAAAUGGCUAGAGUGUGACGGUACCUUAUGAGAAAGCCACGGCUAACUACGUGCCAGCAGCCGCGGUAAUACGUAGGUGGCGAGCGUUAUCCGGAAUUAUUGGGCGUAAAGAGCGCGCAGGUGGUUGAUUAAGUCUGAUGUGAAAGCCCACGGCUUAACCGUGGAGGGUCAUUGGAAACUGGUCGACUUGAGUGCAGAAGAGGGAAGUGGAAUUCCAUGUGUAGCGGUGAAAUGCGUAGAGAUAUGGAGGAACACCAGUGGCGAAGGCGGCCUCCUGGUCUGUAACUGACACUGAGGCGCGAAAGCGUGGGGAGCAAACAGGAUUAGAUACCCUGGUAGUCCACGCCGUAAACGAUGAGUGCUAAGUGU
rnacentral:rRNA from 1 species